GACCUCGUAGCUCAACUGGAUAGAGCAGGUCCGUCCUAAGGACAAGGUUACAGGUUCAACUCCUGUCGAGGUCA
rnacentral:tRNA from 1 species